AAUUAAGCUUAAGGCUUCGUAAACAGGAAUACCGAAAAUUCAAUUUUGUACAUACGGGAUAUAUAUACCAUGAAUCAAUGCUUUGUGACGUCAGUUACAGCAUAGCUUCGACGGACGUACAUCAGAAAAAAUCGAGGAAACUCUUUAUUUUCUGCCAAAAUAAAAAAAAGAAGUCAAUUAAAUGCUACAGAAAUUGCGACGAGACCAUAAUGGACGUUUUGUUAAAUUUUGGGCCAAAUUGGAAGAGGAAUGAUGAAGAAAUUAUUGAGAAAUUUCAAUGUUAAAUCAUGGUGGUCAAAGACAAGAUGGCGGACGUCUUCUUCUCUAAUCAAGAAAAUGAAACGAAACUGCUUCAAUGGUGUUGGAAGUCAACAAUAUGUUAUAUGUGUUACCCU